GACAAGUUUUGAUGCUGUAACACGACUACGUACAGGAUAUUUUUUUGUCUUUUUUGUACACGCCAUACAAAAUGUUGUUUCUCCACAAAAAUUUGUGCACUAACAUAGAAUGUCAAGAUGUACACCAACAAAUUUAUAUCAGAUUUUUUAACAUUUUUAAAAUUGUUUUUUAAUUAUUUUAUAUAAUGAGAGCAUUUGCUCCUAUGAGCCAAAUUGCCACCUCCCUAGAGUAGGCAUCUAAUAAUGCAAUAUGAAGAAUAUUCUUAAAGAACUGCAAUACGAUUGGGUGCACGCUUUAUCCAUGUAAAAAAUGGAAAAUAUUGGUCUGUUUUUUAAAUUUUGUUUUCAAAGCAGAGUUGCAGUUGACAUAUAAUGCAUUUUCAUUUAACUACUUAUUCUUUAUACUGAUUUACCCAAAAAAAAAUCCCUUUCUCAGUGGUUACCAGUUUGCUUUGUUCUUACUUAUAUGGUCUUCUUUAUUCAUGAAGCACUAGAUUGUUUAUUUACAUAGAAAUCACGCCCUGUUGUGAAGAGCGUAUUGCACUGGACCCUGAGGGGUAAUUCCGUUUCCAUGAAGUUCUUCUCUAUUAGCUGCAUCAAUAAUGCUUCCUUAUGCAUGCGUUCGAUGCCAAUGGAAACCAGCAACCUAAUCCAAGCUAAAGCCUUUCGAACCUGCACUGCCAUGGAUCGUCAUAAGACACAGCCAAUCACCUAAGAGUUCAAGCAAGUGAUUUGUUGGUCCAAAAAUCUUAAAUAUAAGCUGAAGUGAGUAAUAUUGUUCACAACAUUUAAUUAUAGGCCAGAAAAUAGACUUAGGGAUAUAAAUACUACGCAUGAAACACUUGUACAUUUUUUGUAGAAGCUGUCCGGUUGAACUCUGUAAGGUUAGCUUUUUUUUACAUAUCAUGGCACAUAACAGAUUAGAUUUAAUUAUGGAUUCGUAUAAGAAAUUAUUAACCGAGAAACACUACUACAUAUCAAUUAUUCAGGUGUAGAACUAAUUAAAGUGUUCAGUGCAUCCAUCUGUAUUACAAAAGUAAUAGCUCCAUUGGCUACCUACACAUAAAACGAGAGCUUCCCUCCUAUCCAUGGUGGCAUCAUGCAGGGCUGCUUGGAAGUACGUAACCUGAUACAGCUAUUUGUUUCAUGUCAUUUUUGCGCCUUUGCAAAUAGAUGAUUAAUAGCUACCAUAAGUAACUCUAUUCAAUUCUGGGUGUUACCCAUUCACUUGGGUCGCAAGUGGCGGUGUUAUAUUUGAGAAUGCAACACUCCAACUUUGAACUAAACAUGCCUAUGACUCUAAAAGUGUUUACUUCCUCUCUUUCUAUCUUGGAGAAACCUCCGAUGCCAAAAUCGUGAGUAAAGCCAUGCUCCAGUACAUGUCAAAAAGACGCUAAUAAGGUUCAGACUAACAUCAGAAUUAAGUUGUCAGUCAUACUUCAGUGGUUCUCUGUAUAUCUGAAGUUGCUAGCUGUUUCUUUUAUAGAACUUAUAAAUUGGAGUGUACUUCCAGCCGGCUAUGCUUAUGGUUGUUUAAUUUGGUCCUAUGUCAAUGUAGUAUCAAAUAAUUUGUUUUCUGUGUUUUUUGAGAGAGCUUUCACCUGAUGGCAACAUCUCAGACUUGAUGGAAACUCCUUUUGACAGAGGUCUCAUGCUUAUCACGUAAGGCUAUAGGCCCAAGUUAAGACCUCAUUAACUGAUUGCUGCAAUUCUGCAGCAUAUAUAGCUCAAUGGAGCCAUACCUCUAAUUUUUGGAAAGAUGAUGAUGACAAAUUGACAUUUCCAGGUACGGAACCACUCCCAUGUGAUUUAGCUUAUUCUUCUAUGUACGAUACAUUCACCUUCCACUGCAACGAGGUGUGUGAGGUUGGCAUGAUGCUAUGAGAAGGUUGACCCUAGCCUCCAGUGGCUCUCCCUUCCUCGAGAUGGCAGGCUCAUACGGCACCGGCAGAAAGCCUGCUGCAUCUCAAGCCGGUGCUUGAAAUGGGGGUUCCGAUCCUGUCCACGUCGAGCUCGCCUAGCGCCUGCUCGCCCGCCGCUGAGAUAUAUGAUUUGAUUUCCCGUGGGGAGAAGAAGAGAAGACAGAUAGGCAGAUCUAUGGGAAAAUUUCUGAAUACAUGCAUCUGGUGUGCCAUUAUUUUUUCAGGUAUGGAGCCACUCCCAUGUGAUUUAGCUUAAUAUUCUGCGUACGAUACCUUCACCUUCCACUGCAACGGGGUGUAUGAGGUUGGCCUGAUGCUAUGAGAGAUACUAACUAUCUCAGCGGGUUGACCUCCAGUGGAUCUACCUUCUUCGAGAUGGCGGACCCAUAUGGCACCGGCAGAAAGCCCAAGCAGCAUCUGAAGCUGGCGCUUGUGAUGGAGGCUCUGAUCCCAUCCACAUCGAGCUUGCCUAGCACCCAGUUAGUGCCGAGGAACUUGAAAAAUCAGCAAAGAUGAAAUUUCUGAUUCUAGAAGGUUUUAAGUGUCAAACGACAAUUGUAUUAAUCAUCUGGCACUUUUUCAAAUCAGUGGAAGUAGUAUAUUUAAAACUAUUUUCAUGAUUGUAUAUAAGUAUUGUUGUUCUGUUU